CUCAUCCUCCACUUAUUGCUCUUGGUGUGCAGCAGCCUCUGUGAGCAUCUCCCUCUUAUUUUCUUGGAGCAGUCAGCCUUGGCAGUCUCUCAGAUCAACUCCAGUAUUAGCAGCAGCAACAACAACAGCAAAGGCAGCAUACUCACUCAAGGAAUUUAGUAAGAUUUUACCAGAACAGGUAUCACAUUAAUGUAAAAAAUCUGUUGUAUUUGCUGUAAAAUAAAAUUGCUGUAUUUUUUCUGUUUGCUUUGUUUUUGUUUUAUUAUAUUAAUGGAACUCUUGUAUUUUUGUAAUUCAGUUUUUGCCAUCAAAAUAGCCACAAAU